UGGUGACUGAGGCCUGGAACAGGUGUACAGGACCUGAAGGUUUCCUGAGGUAUGUGGUCUCCGGUGGCGACAGAGGAAUAACCUGGAGUCGGCUGGUUGAGUAAGGAGAUGAAUGAACAGGCUGUGCGGGUACACACCUGUGAUCCCAGCACUUAGGAUGUGGGGGCAGGACAGUCAGAAAAAGUCAAGGUGGCCUUCAGCCAUUCCUGAGUUCAAGACUGGGCUACGUGAAAUGCAGGAGGGGUUGGGAGAGAAGGAGGGAGGGAGUGUGUGUGAGAGAGAAUAAGGAUUAAGUACUCUGAGGUCUUGGGACUGAUAUCUUGAGAACUCAGAGGCCUGGAAUCUUCUGGGAGCAAGAAUAAACUCCUUGGGUGGGGUGCAUGGGAAAUCCCCCAGGCUAGAGUGCUGAUACCCAUUCACUCUCGAGUCAGCUACCUUCUGGAAGGCAAGGCUGCUGGGGUCAACAGGACUGGUGACUUAGGUAGCCCGGUGAGGGUCUUCUAAGGGUCAUCUCCCACCCCGUGUGCCAGACCAGGCAGCUGGCUCAUGAGACAGGUGAAGAAGCAGAGAUCAUGAGAAGGUCACUGCUGUGGCGAGUGUGGCCAGACCACAGAAGAGACUGGGGUCUCACAGACACACAGGGUCCAUGUCAAGCAUCCCACUUCAGAUGAGAGGCCUCCAGAGAAGGGGUCAGGGAACCUACUCUCUGACUUUGAAGGAUUCUUCCUGACCAAGCUCAUUCUACACCUAGGUCUUGGCAUCCCAGAGGCAGCAGGUACCA
rnacentral:lncRNA from 1 species